CCUCCCUCGGACCCGGGGCAGAUGGAAACCAGAGCGCAGCAUGCACUUGGAGCCUAGCUGCUGCAGGCCCAGAAGUCCCCUCUAGCAGCCCGAGCCCCCUUCGGCCUCCUCCCUGCUCUCUGGAAAGGCCCAAGGAGCCAGAAGCAGGAAUGGCUGGACGAGGGCCUCUGGGAGAGCCACGUGUGCCAGCCCAGCCCCUGCCAGCUCUCAGGCUGAUCUCACAAUGGCUCCUUUCACCAGAGAGAGGAGCUGGCCCUCCUGCAGCCCUCGAGGUGAUGUCCCAGGCCCCAGGGGCAAGGAGUGGGAGACCAGAAACUAAGGAAAGGGUUGCUAAGGCUGGGAGAGGUAAAGGUGCUGAGCCACCCCCUCACGACCACCCGAUGUCACGGUGACCACCCCGCAACGGGGGCCACAGGAGAUCAGGCUCUGUGGGGCCCGGGGCCAGAGUGGGGGUGGGAGGAAGUCCUGAAGCAUUCCUGGCCUCAGGAUCGAUUGAUUCAAUGGUUCGAUGUGAUGACAUAAGGACCCAGGAGCUUCCAGUGUCCUGCUCUGCCCAUUGGAUCCAGUCUAAGAGCACAAGAGGAAACAGAAGCAGAGGGAGAGAGAGAAUCUGAAGAGAGAGAAUCCAGC